UAAAUAUGAAGCUAAAGGAAAAUAAAAAAGGUAAAGCAGAUGUUUAUGGAAGUCAGGGUACAUGUCCUAAGGCAGAAGAAUUUUUCAGAAAAACGGAGAACUUUUUCUUUAAAAACAACUGAGCAAAUCAAGCACACAAAACAGUGUCACUGUCCUUUAUCAUGCAUAAUCUUGAUCUCUGAAGCAGCACAUUUAAGGCUUCUCUGCUCAGGUGCACCCUGAAUAUGGCUGGACAGCACUUCUAGUCACAAAAACAGGAUUGGACCCAGAGUUGAACAAAACAGACAAGGUUCCUGACUUCGAGGAGCUAAUGGGGAUGAAGACUGUAAACAGCAACUAAACAAGAUGAACACACUGCUCGAGAUUACACAGCGAGGAAGCAGGGGAGCCAAGGAUAAAACCCAUAUCUUCUGGCCACAGUACAAGUUACUCUGCUAUAUCAUUAUGCUUUGAUCCUCUAAUUUUAGGGUCUUAGGGGAGCCCAAAGGGUGAAUUAACACAAGGCAUGGGAGGUGUCUGGGUGUAUGAGUAUCCAAUCCUCAAUGACCUGCCUCCACCUCCAACCUCAUUUCCUGCCAUCUGCUAACAGGAAUCCAAUGCUUUCACCAUGCCGAACUGACAGCUUCCAGACAUGCUCUUCUGUGCCUUCCAAAGUUUCCUUAUGUUGUUCCUCCAGCUGAGAAGGCCUUGCUCUACCUAGCCAUUCUCCAGGGCCCGGUACAAGCUUCUCUUUUGCUGUAGAGACUUCCUUAACCCAUCUGGAUAUGUUUGACCAUGCCCUCUUUCAUUGACAUCUCACUCGGCCCUACAUUUUUAUUAUACUCAUCUCAUGAUGUCAUUCUUAUGGUGGUGGCACCUAUAUCGUCCACUGGGCCAGGCAGUGGUCAAGACCGGAAAUCUCUGUGCUUCUAACCCCCAGCACAGUGCCUGGCACAUAGUAAGUGCUGAGGAAAUCCUUGAUGAAUGAGUAGAUGGUUGAGUUAACAAUGGAGAAGAAAACAUUCCUGAGCAGAGACCACCCCCACCCUUGAUCUUCUGGGAGAACUGCCUUUGUAGAAUAGGGAACAAAAAGGGCAGGCAUCAAAGGGAUACAAUGGGUAAAACAUUCUUUCCUGUUCUCUCUGGUUCCUUCCUUUUUAUUUUUCUUCUUGCUAUUGGAACAAAAAUGAAGAGUACAUCAUAAGCAAAGCUGUAUUUUCUGUUUAUUGCCACCAGGUUAAUAACAGUAAUGGUGCAGGAAGAAAAUGAGGUGUUAUGUAAAAUCCUGCAUUGCAGAUUUUGCUGCUGAUGUAAAGAACUCAAUAAAGUGUAACACUUUAAUCAUAGAGAUAAAAAUCACACAGCAGCUUUCCCACAGGCUCCAGGAGCCCAAGACAAAAUAGUUGUGGGGAAAU